AUAUGCAUGCAGUACAUAUGCUAAAAUUGGAAUGAUACAAAGAAGAUUAGCAUGGCCCCUGCACAAGGAUGACACACAAAUUCAUGAAGCAUUCCAUAUUUUU
rnacentral:snRNA from 1 species